CCCUUCGCCCGGCCCGGCCCGGCCCAGCCCGGGCGCUCCCCUCCUCCGGGGCGGGGCCAAGCGGGGCGGGGGCAGCGCGUUCCCCGCGGAGAAGGGUCCGCCCGCAUGCCCCGGGAGGCGCUUGUGGAGCAGAGCUGCGGGUCUCUCUGGGCAGCCGAGGUUUUUUUUCACAUUACUGCCCCAAACCUGUAUUUUUUGCACCAAAGGAGAUGCAGGUUUUCCAGGACCAUGGGAUGAAUGCAUUUGUGUAUUUACUCAGCAAAUGCAGUGGUGUUUGCUUUUUGAUGGGCAUAUAGGAAAAAUUUAGGAUUAGGACCCGUCACGGGGCAAAGGGGGGGCCCUUCACACUGUUGGUGUAAAAUAAAAUGGAUGAGAACAACAUUGGUGUCAUUUGCACAGCACCAUGGCGCUAUCUCAGCGAGACACCUUGCCUGCACCCCAGCUGUGCCCUUCCAGCUCUGAGUACCAUCAGCUGCUUCACAGACUGGUGGGACUCCCAUAAUACCACCCCAAGACUGAUGGUAGAUCCAGCACGGGGUACAUCCAGCCUGUGCUUCCUGGCCAGUGCUGGUUUGCAGGUGGCAAGACCAUGCAGCCCAAUACACAAGUCCAUAGGCAGUGGCCCUGAAGUGAAAGAACCACGGGAAUUUUCCUGUGUAAGAACCAAUGCUAGAUGCGAUGUCAGCCUCAUUCUCACUGGAUCUGGUCACAGUUUGAGCACUGAUGUCACUCAGAACAAGCUGGCUCAGCACUUUCCCCAGCCCCUGAGAGGAGAGGAAAUGAAACAAUGCACCUAAAUUAAGGAGGUGUUUUUUCAGUGUCUAAACUGAGCACUUCCACCAAGCACCUUCAUACUGACCACAAAUUCUACACUGAGGUGGAGAGGACAGCUGGCCCCAGCACAGUUCUCUCCUGACAAGGCAGAAAGCUGAACUGCUGCAUCUCAAGGUGAUCUGCACAUCUGGUUCACCCAAACAGUGACAACCCCAGCAUUUCAGCGACCAGCUUUCUCUGGCAUCCCACUGCAACUCGAGGAGAAUCCUAUGCUCCCACAAACACAUACUCUGCAUUUUCCAGAUAAGGAUCUGGAAAGAAAACAUCACAUUAGCUGCGAUCCUUCUGAGCAGGAAAACAACCUGAAUUCUGGCGUCCUGAAUGCAUGGGGAGCUCAGAUGGUGUUUCAGGUACUUUCAAGGACUGCUCACUCUUAGUUGCUGUGGCUCUCCUUGGGUAUUUCCAGAAAACAUUCCAGAAGCAAUUUUCUGGUAGAUCUGGGCUUUGCCCUAGAUUUUGCUGGAAAAAUGAUCUAAGGAGCUAUAUGGUACAAAAAGUGAAUGUCAAAAAAAGCAAAAAAACCAACAAAACAUAGCUACCAUUGCAAGUACCUAACAGCUGGGAAAAACUACUACAUACAUGUUCUCAAUAUGUAAAAUACAAUUUAUUGUAUUUAGGCUGUUCAUAAGUAUCAACACAACAAACGUAGUAUGUUUGAAACAAACAUCUCUCCAAUAAAUACUAUCUAAACAUUAA